rnacentral:lncRNA from 1 species
CUUUCUGUAACUGCCUUGGAUCCGCUGGAGAAUACAGUCAAGAAUCUGGAAAUCUAUGGGCGACAUGGGGAAGAACACAAACUUGGAUUUUGGAGUUAGACCUUGGGCUGAUUUCUGGAUCUGCUAUUGAUUAUGAAGUUAGCCAUGGGACUUACCCCACUCUCGUCUCAUUGAUCUCAUCUAUACACUUGCGUGUGUGUUCAAACAUCAAAUAAAAUAUGUGUGUGUAUAUAUAUAUAUAUAACCAGCACAUGGUAGUUCCUCAACAAAUGGUAGCUCUAGAUUUAAGUGAGGUGAGGUUCCAGGUGCCUAUGACAACAUCCCAGUGGUGGGAGGAACAUCAGGACUCUGCAGCUGGGGUGGCCUCUUCCUUGUCUUAUGUGAUAGGUAGGAUUCAGAUUGGUUACAGGGCACAUGUUUGGAUCUCUGCAGUAUGUCAGAUCCAUUCUUUUUGGAUGGAGCCAAUGUCAGAAGGAAGCAUCACUUUUUAAUGGUGCGUGGGCAUUGCCACCACAUGGUUCAAUUCAAGGUCAUUAGCACUGGUGUGAUGCAGUGGGAACCAAAAGACUUACUACUCACGCUGCAAAGGAAGAGGCAAAAGACAGGAUGUCUGGCUCUCUAGACCCCUCAACAGGAAGGGUGUCUCCCUAAACUUAGUAAGAGCACCAUCAAAGAAAGAAAAAAGAGGAGUAAAAUAAAAUUUUAUCUCACAGAUUUGGUCUCAAGCACAAGUAUUAUUCACAGGAAUAAUAAGGAUAGGAACCUAGAUUUUCAUAGCUAACAUUUUAUGCCUUUUAAAGCAUUUACACUUCUUUGAUUGCCUUGUUUCCUCACACAUCUCUGCAGAGGGGAAGGCAGCCCAGAAUCAUCCAUUUUUCAGAUGUGGACACUGUGGCAGUUGCUGUAGGGGAAAAAGCACCACACUGAGAUUUAGAAGUCCCUACUUAAACUGGACAUGGUGGAAAUCAAAAGUUCAAGGUCAGCCUGGGCAUAGACCAGGUCUCAAAAGACUGGGGAUGUAGCUCUGUGACAGAGCACUUGCCUAGGUGUGUGUGAGGUGUUAUUUUUGUUCAAUCCCCAGUACUGGAAUAAAAAAAAUAUCCCUACCAAGAGAUGGGCACUUUCUGAUGUGGUGCAAUUUUAUCUGGGAAAACACAAUCCUCCAGGAUGGCUAUUCUCUUAUCUUUCAAUACUAAAGUCAGUAAAUCUUCUAAGGUUGUCUUGGCUGAAGAUCCUGGGGUCUUUAUUUAUAGUUGUGAUGAGCUACUUCUUAACAGCCUCCAGUGAUCCCUGCCUCUAGGCAGUCAUGUCCCUCUGUAGUCUCCUCCCCUGGGCUGAGCCUGGUGACUUGCUUUUAACUAAUAGAACAUGGUAAAUAUAAUGGGAGCCACUCUGAGAUUAGGUUGUAAUUGCACUGACUUCCCUCUUACUGUGCACUUUCUCUCUGGCUCUUCUAAUUGUUCUUGCUAAGAUUAACAUUCUACAGAGGCCCACACAGUGAAGACCUGAGGGGUUUACAACUUGCACCCACUGAGAAACCGAGGAUUCCAUCCUAGCAAUCCCAAAGGAAUUAAAUCUUGCCAGUGACCCUAGGAGUGAGUGUGAAAGCAGCUUCUUCUCCAGUCAAGCCUUAAGAUGUCUGUGACUCUAACCAAUACCUGGAAUGCAACUUUGUUAAAGAAACCCUGACCUAGACCCAAGCCUCCAGCUAAACCAUCUGGGAUUGGUGGUCUAUGAAGAAACUGAGAUAAUAAAUAGGUAACUAAGUGUCUAGAUAAUUUGCUACAAAGCAAUGGAUAGCUAAGGUCAAAUAGUAAGUGGCAGAGAUAGAACUGAAGAUAGAAUUUGUUUUAUUUAAAAUUUUUUAUUUAAGCAUUUUCUAAAAUAUUGGUAAAACAGAAGCCAAAUGAAAUGCUGUGUGAGAAGGGUUCUACAGUCAAACUGUACUUCAGAAAUCCUCCAGUGCCUCUGUGUUUUUAGGGACACAUACUGUACCUUAAAGAUUCAUAUGUGUAUUAAGAAUUGUAAAGCAAAAAAAAAAGUCCAUGUAUAAUGGCAUAAAUUGAUGUGAACAUACUUUCUAUACAG